GGGGGAGGUGUGGUGCAGGGGACCCCCUGUGGCUUGCGGCUCACUGAUGCUUAAGAGGAGCCCAGGGCUGGAGGCCGUAAGGCUCUAGGUACUAAGAAACCACAGAAAGCACGUGGGGGUGGGGCUCUGCGUUACAGCACACCACAGUGGAAUUUUCCAAAUAGCCUUGUUUUUUAAAGGCAUCGCCCCGUUGCCUUCUGCUGCCGCCACCCUCAGAAAGCGAAACCCGAUUUAGAAGCUGCGGGAUCAGGUCUCACGUGGGAGCCACGUGAGAUGGGUGCAGAGGGCAGAGGUGGCAGGGGAUGCAGAUGCUUCUCACGCCCGAUCAUCCCUUGCGGGAAACUCUCCCGCCCCUUCCACGCGUGCGGCUCCCCGGAAGCACCUCGAACUCUGUCAAGUCCUCCCCUUUGCACCUGCUCUGCCCUCGGCCUGGACCUCCUGGGAUUCCCUUCUCCUCUACUUCCUAGUCCCCUCUGUCCCCAGGUCCCCAGCGGGUAGUCAGGGCCCACACGGAGGAGAGGGGAAGAGCGUAGCCUGCCUGAGCCCUGCGCAGUGUGUGUCUACCGUCUUCGUCCUCGCAGUCGCCCAUGUUGCCGAGAAGAACUGAGGCUCACGCGGGGGAACGUUCCGUGCCCACGGCCCCAUAGCUGCGAAGGACACAGGCAGGAUUGGCAACCAGGCCGUCUGGCUCCAGCUCCAUGUGAGAGUAAUAGCCACCGUGGAAAAUUUGGUGAAUGCAGAUGAGUCCACAGAAGAAAAUACACGGUGCCUGCCACCCUCCCUUCCAGAGAGAGCCACUGGCAUGUGAGCCACUCAGACGUCCCCUUUGUCUUCUUUCCCUACGGACUACCCUCUGAGUAACCGUCAGCCCCGAUGCGGUCCUUCUCUGCUGCUUAUUCGGUGCAAGCCGCCUCUGUGAGCUGCACCUUCCUCGUCUCUGAAAUAGAGCUUAAAACGCGUUCCCUCCCCCGUGGGACAGUGUGAAGCCGAGUGCAGCAGUGAAUGUGGAGUGGUGUAGCCGGCGGGGUGGCAGGUGCUUGGUAGACAGCGGCUACCAAGGGAAGCCCGAGAAGCGGGCUACCAAGGGAAGCAGAAGAAGCCCACUGUGCCACCAGGGAAGCCCGAGAGCCAUUUUUAUUGUGGAAAAUUUCAAACAUACACACAGUGAACCGUAGAGUGAUCCCCUAGGUACCCAUCUCAACACUGGUUAUAUUCUGCUCUUCCUGUCACCACCCCAUAUUCUUGUUGUUUUUAUUUUUCCUGGAUUCACUUAGAGUGUAUCUUAGAUAUAUCAGAACCCAUGAAAAUACUUCAGCUUGUUCCAUGCACAUCUUUAGUAGUAAGGUUUUUUUUUUUUUUUUGAGGCAUAAUCAUAAUAUCGUCAGAUACCUAUAAAAUUAACAAUAAUUCCUCAAUGUUUUAUAAUUCCCCAAUUAUCUCUAAAAAUGUCUUCUUAUAGUUUGUUCAAAUCAGAUUCUGGGAAAUUCCCUGGCAGUCCAAUGGUUAGAACUCUGCGCUUCCACUGCAGGGGGCACGGGUUCGAUCCCUGGUCGGGGAAUUAAGGUUCUAAAUCAGGUUCCAAAAGCAACAUACUGCACUUGGUAGAUGGGUCAUUACGUCUCUUUUAGUCUGAAAUAGUUCUCCCUUGGUUUGUUUUUCCUACGCGAUAUAUUUGAUGACAUUGCGUUAUUUGUCUUGUGGAAUUUUCUGAAUUAUGGAUUCAGAGGACUGUACAUUUGUGGUGGUGUUGAACAAGCUCCUCUAGCCCCAGUAUUUCCUAUAAACUCAGUUUCAUCCCAAGCAGCGGUCCUCAAUUUUGCCCCCAAGGAACAUUUUGCAGUAUCCUCUGAAGAGAGUCCCUUAGGAGGCACUGCGCUGGGGAUGGGAGUGGGACCAGUAGAGUGGUCUGCAUCUAGGGGUCACUCCCAGCAUCCACGCAUGUGUACUUCCUACAUGUCCCAUCAGGAGUGGACAGCUUCUCCCACUCUUAGCAACAUCGCCUUGGACUAGGGGGUCCCGGUGCUGUCAGCACAUCACCUGAUGAUUCCGCAGCCAUUCAUAAUCAUGGUCUAGAUCAACCAUUCGGGUUGAGGGAUGGUGAGACCUAUUUUUUUUUUAGUGUAAUGCAAUUAUGACUUUAAUACUUUCUCACAUACUGUUUACAAAGGGCUUUCCCAUCCAGGAUCGAAUAACCAAACUCACAGCUAUGCUGGAGGCGGGUCCAAUAAUCUUCCUCUUUUUUUGUAAAUUGAUUUUUACUGGAGAAUAAUGUACAGUGUUGUGUUAGUUUCUGCUGUACAGCAAAGUGAAUCAGUUAUACAUAUACAUAUAUCCACUCUUGUUUAGAUUUUUUUCCCAUAUAAGUCAUUACAGAGUAUCAACUAGAGUUCCCUGUGCUACACAGUAGGUUUUUUAAAAAAUUAAUUAAUUAAUUAUUACCUUUUUUUUGGCUGCGUUGGGUCUUUGUUUCUGCACAUGGGCUUUCUCCAGUUGCGCCGAGCGGGGGCUACUCUUGGUUGCGGUGCACGGGCUUCUCAUUGCAGUGGCUUCUCUUGUUGCGGAGCACGGGCUCUAGGCACAUGGGCUUCAGUAGUUGUGGCACGUGGGCUCAGUAGUUGUGCCUCGCGGGCUCUAGAGCGCAGGCUCAGUAGUUGUGGCACACGGGCUUAGCUGCUCCGCGGCAUGUGGGAUCUUCCCGGACCAGAGCUCGAACCCGUGUCCCCUGCACUGGCAGGCGAUUCUUAACCACUGUGCCCCCAGGGAAGCCCUAUACCGUAGGUUCUUAUUAGUUAUCUAUUUUAUACAUAGUAGUGUGUCUAAGUCAAUCCCAAUCACCCCAUUUAUCGAUAAUCUUCUGAUAAUUUUCUCCAGACAAGGAGGCUGAGAUCAGAGAAGGGAAGGGGCACAAGACCCCACAGCUCAAAAGGAGAAGCAGGCCAGGCCUGGGCAGGGCCGCCGCCCAGAGCUCCAUUCACUGGAGGAUGCUGAGCUCAUGCAGCUGCAGAGAAGGGAGGAAAGGCCCUGUGAUCUUCUUUUAAGAGCUACAAAAGUUCUAAAGCGUUCUCUGCUGUGCAUCAGCUGUUUCUAGCAUCCCUCUCCAACCUCAGAGACCACUGCUCACCCAUGACACAAAGGGGGGCCCGGCUCACACCCCUUCAGGCCUCCUGCCACCUCCAGCAUGAGACCCAAACCCUCUCAAGCCCCUCCCACAUCUGUCUUCCCAUCUUUUCCCACAUCACGGUCCCCACCCCAGCCAAACCCAACUGGGACACCGAACUCGGAUUCUGAUGCACUAACAGGAGACUUCUGCUACGGCUUGACCAGCUGCUCUCGGUGGGCACUAAGGAGGCGGUUAACCCCUGUCCAGCACCCAUGUGUGCAGGCACGUUAUUGCUUUUAACACUGGGGAGUGGGUUUCACCUUUUCAGCUUUCACAUGAGAAAACCGAGGCUUGGAGAGGGUGACCGGCUUGCCAAAGGGGGCCGGAGCUCAUGAGGAGCCAUGCAGGACGGCCUCGGCCCGGGCUUCUUCCAGGUGGCCCCAGGCAGCCACCUCCACGGGGCUGGGAAAAGGUGGGCCCCAGAAAGUGUGGUGGAGAGCUCCACUCCACACGCCGUCGGAGCUCCCCGUGCCGGGCCUUGGUCUCCUGUGCUUUCUGUCAUCUGCAGCGCACUGGAGAGCGGUCACUGCCAGGAAGGAAACCACGCUGUUCACGGCCAAUCUGCAGAGUGACAGGGUGGAAACGGACCCCAGUAUGUUUCUUCCAGAUGAAACGGGUAACUCAUUCCACAGGAAGGGCCGCGUGUAUGCCCUUGGAGUGUGUGAAAUUGACGACUGCACCGCCUUCCUCCCCCUGCCCUGCCCAGGGAUAUCACAUGGCCUUGUCAAGGCCACUCAGCUGUUCAGGGCAGAGCUGGGCCCCGCAUACGUCACCCUGCACCCCUGGCCUGCUGACUUCCGAGGCCCCUGAGUGGGGCGGGGCUAUCUGGGGGCAAGAUAAGAAGAGCCAGCCUUCUAAGGAAGGGGGCUGCCUGGGCUCGGGGGGCUUCACCGCUUUCCUUCAAACUGCUGAAAACUUCAGAGGGCCAGAGCUCAGGCAGGCGGCAGAGACCCUCCGAAGUUUAUCGAGGAGAGACGAAAGAGGAAAUUGUGGUAUCUUUAUCACCAGACAGCUAGGGCUGAGGGAGGUUUACUGACUUAGAAAAAUAAAAUUCAUACCAUUGUUAUAAAGCAGAAACUAACACACCAUUGUAAAGCAAUUAUA